CCCCGCCCCCGACUGCAAUAAAAGACCCAUAAGGAAACUUGGCUUUCCAGGUGAAUUGAACCUGGUCUCCGAGGAGUGGGAGGUGAGGAGUGGCAGGUGCGGGGAGGCUGGCGAAGGGUCCUGGGACUCCCUGCUGUGUCGCCGCUGCCCCCUGGGGAGAGGGGGUGAGCCGAGGGUCCCACUGUCGCAGAUGGUUCCUGGACCAGAACGGAGCUCUGACAUCUGACAUAGGAUUGAAAGGUUGGUAAGAGCCCUGAGGCCACUUGUGAGCACUAAUUGGUAUUAGGAGUGAGCCCCUCUCUGCUGCUGGGGCAGGGGCUUGUCCCGCCUGCCCAGUUGCAUGGAGACGCCUUUGCACUGACCCCAGCAGGGAACAUCAGGGGCAGGCCGCUGCUCCCCUCGGGCCCAGGCCCGGUUCACCUGCUCCCUUCUUUUGGCCUGCCUCUGCCCUCCUGCCUUGGUAGCCCCCCCCCCCCCCCCCCCACCGAUCUCAGACUAAUUCUGUUUACUCAAAGGUCUCCCCGAAAGCACCUGCUCUUCUGUAUCCAUGCAGCACAUACUUACUAUUAACUCUAUGCCAGGCAGUGUGCCCGACUCUUGGUAUAAAGCAAAGGAGGAAAGAGACAAGGCUCUUACCCUCAGAGGGCUUUCAGUCUAGCGGGGAGCUAGACACUGAACUCAAAGAACGGGAUGGGGUAGAAUCGGGGGAAGAGACUGACUUUCUAGGUCAAGAAAUACAGGCCAUGAGAACAUCUCGAAAUAGGAAAAAACUCUGGUGGCUCCAGAGUUUUCUACCCCAAAGAUACAUACUAAUACCUUACCUUGAAGCUAAGUUUAAAACAGCACUUUACAGGCCUUUGGGGAAAUGAGCGUCGUCUCAACCAAAGACCGUGUGACAGAGUUGCUCACGGAGAUUGGGGCUGGUGGCUAAAGCCUACACGAGGCCCUCCUGCACCCAGCCCCUGGGAAGGAACUUGGACCCCGCCACAAAGGAAGGACAGGGAACUCAUGGGCCCGGAGGUCACGGGCCGGGGUAGAGCGAGCAGCGUGCGAUGAGAGGAGGCAGGGGAGGCCCAGUCUGGAGGACAGAGCUUCUGAAGCGGGACUCUUGGGGUGCAUGUAGCAGGAUUAUCUCAGGGGCUUGUUGCCAAUGCAGACGCUUGGGUCCCUCUCAGGCUUGGAACCUGCUUUUGGGCAAGCACCCUAGGGGAUUAUUUGAAGCACAGGGCUCCACAGUCCACACGGAUGGCUUUCUGGAUCUUACCCUCGAUGCAGCGGAGGCCACUGGAGGUCUUGGAAAAGAGAAACAAUGCAUUCCAGUUUUAGAGACGUCCUUCCUCUCGGGUAGCAACCGAGGGAGGGCGACAGACCCUGAGACGGCCAGGACAGAAGUCCGUGUGCCCCCCUCAUCGCUUUGCUUCCCCACCAGUAGUACCGGGUGGACUAGCUCCUGACCCCAGUGGCCAGUCCCAGGGCACCUGCCGAUGCCCCCUGGUCACCUAGACCCUCAUGCAGUGGCAGGUGGAUUGACACUGGCCCUUGGAUUGUCCACUGCUCCUUUAACAUCUCACACAGUCGCUCGCUGUCACCACAGCAGUCGGUUGCCCAGGGCAAACUGCCACGUCACCUGUCCGGGAUGGUUUUGACAGCACUGGGCCCGGGAAUGGGGAGAAACUUUCAGUGACUCUCAUGGUUCUCUCCGGCCCUAUGAGUCUGUCACAUGAGCUCAGGUAGGGAGGAAUCAGUCAGUGAGACUGUCACCUCUCAAUAGGUCAGAUUCCUCACCCUGGGUCCAGGUGACCGCCCCCCUCCCCAGGGCUCCUGGCUUGAAGAUGAACAAACGAGGUGCUGAGUAUAUCAACCCGUCCCACUCAGAGGGUGUACCAAGUGGCUUUUGACUCAGGCUGCUGCCUACCAAAACCAGCCUCCCUCUUUCAGAUAAAUGACAAAUUUUUCACUCUCCCCGCAUUUUCAAAGAGAGGCUGACAGAGGGAACGUUGCGAAUCACAAUCAGAGUUUCCUGCCGCAGAGCACACAAGAUGAGAAUUGAUCUCAAACCUUUUACUGUCAUCAUUUACUGAGUGCUGGAAAGACAUACACAUAAGUCAGCAGAGAAAAACUCAGAAUCCUGGUCUCUGGCUGCCUGUCAGCAAGAUGCCCAGGUAAUGUCUGAGACCGGGAGACCGGGAGCAGAAUCAAGCCGGAACCCAGCCCGGCCUCCUUAGGUUCCAGAAAUAUCAGCGAGAUCUUUACCUCCACCUUCCUUAUUCCUUUAAUCAACGCUACGGAGGUAUAGUUUACCUACGAUAAAUGGCACCCACGUCAAGUGUACAGGUUGAUGUUUUGACAGAUGUCUAUAUCCGGAUCACCAUUACCUCAGUCAAAAUGUAGACUCUUUCUGUCUAUCACCAGAAUUCCUUCCAGCCUCUCGGAGGUCAGUCCCCUUUUCACCUCCGACCUCAGACAACCACUGAUCUGCUUUCUGUCACGGUAGUUUUAUAAUUUCAAAUAAUAGACUCAGACCGCAUGUAGUCUGGUGUCUGGCUUCUUUUACUGGCUUUUGAGAUUAAGCCACACCCCUGCAUAUAUCAGUAGUUUGUUUCCUUUUAUCGAUGAGUAGUUUAUCUGUUCACCUGUUGUUGGACAUUUGGGCUGUGUCCGGCUUUUGGCUCUUAGGAAUAACGCUGUUACAAACACUUGUGUGCAA